ACCUCUCCUCCCAGGAUUUUAGCUAGCACCUGACCCAGCCCUUUACUUCACAGGCCCGGGGAUUUGCCCGAACUUACAGUGCUGUGGGGUGGAGUCAGAAUCCCAGCUCCAGUCCCUUGGUAUAUGCUUUCCUCUGCCCGGCCAGGGCCCUGCAACUCCUCUUUGUUCCUGGUAAACUGACACAGGUAGAACUUUGGGGAGAAGGUCCGCAGUGCCGUCACCUCUGUGGGUGCAUAACUCCCUCUUGGUGUUGCAGUUUCUCUUCCAGGUGAGAUGCCUUAGGAAGUGCGCUUACUUGUUGGAGUCUUGCCACCGUCUCCCCCUGGGUGACUCCGAGGAGCUUACGGGUGAGCCGGUGAGAGCACAGUGGCGCCUGCCUUGAGGCUGUCUGGAAGGUCAGGCUGGGCCAGCAGGUUACUCAUUCAGCACAUGUUUAUGGAGUCUGACGCCCAGACCUGGAGGUUACUGUGAGUGAACUCCGUGACAAGACCACACCUUACUACAAGUCUUGAGGAAUGCAGUCCCUACCUGGGCAACCACACACCACGCCAUGACUCUGUCAUUAUGGGAGAAGAGAAUGGACACUACAUUGCCGUAAUAAACCUUACCCAUGACUACAACUAUAUGCCGAAUCCUAGCUUUUUCAUCAGCUGAGGGAACAAACACGGAUAUGUGGAGCCGGGCCCUUAGACACUGCUUGAGGCAGGAAUUGGUAUCUUGUUGCAUGAGACGCAGUGGAUGUGAAGCAGGUAAAAAGCCAAGCUCAGUGACACCAUCCUGCAGGCUGGCUGCUGUCGGUUGCUAUCGAUAAGGAUCAGCUUGUAUUUUGAAGCAUCGAUCAAGACUGGAGAUCUAAAAUGAUAGUUUCUGAGCUUGAAAAUCUUCCCCAUUCUCCAUCCUAAGAAUUAUCUUUGCUCAAUUGGAGUUAAAGUCCCUACUGCAUAAGAGGGGAAAGGCAACAAGUGGUUUGGGGGUCCCUAAAAGGCAUCAGGAGCUUCUUUUA